rfam:Mus musculus chromosome 12, GRC primary reference assembly.
ACCCUCUGGCAAUGGACAAAGAGACAUCUUGUCAAUGGUGGUUUUCUUCUAUUAGUGAGAGGCAGAGCAGAUAGCAGUUCUUUGUUCAUCCUAAUUUGUUGCCUGGCUUGGUGGAUGAAACUGACUUAUGCCUAGGACUCAUAA